rnacentral:rRNA from 1 species
UAGGGAAUCUUCGGCAAUGGACGAAAGUCUGACCGAGCAACGCCGCGUGAGUGAAGAAGGUUUUCGGAUCGUAAAACUCUGUUGUUAGAGAAGAACAAGGACGUAGUAACUGAACGUCCCCUGACGGUAUCUAACCAGAAAGCCACGGCUAACUACGUGCCAGCAGCCGCGGUAAUACGUAGGUGGCAAGCGUUGUCCGGAUUUAUUGGGCGUAAAGCGAGCGCAGGCGGUUUCUUAAGUCUGAUGUGAAAGCCCCCGGCUCAACCGGGGAGGGUCAUUGGAAACUGGGAGACUUGAGUGCAGAAGAGGAGAGUGGAAUUCCAUGUGUAGCGGUGAAAUGCGUAGAUAUAUGGAGGAACACCAGUGGCGAAGGCGGCUCUCUGGUCUGUAACUGACGCUGAGGCUCGAAAGCGUGGGGAGCAAACAGG